GCAGUCAGAUGGUUUCACACACACACACACACACACACACACACGUAUUCUUAGCAUUUCUGUUUUUAGAAAAUCACGUUCCGUUCUUUUAAAGGAUCAACAAAUUAUCGGCUGCUCCAUCAAUAAAUGUCACAUGACUCUGUGACUCUCGGCUCAUCGGGAAAAACUCGGUUCAACGGAGCUGCGUCCAACCAGGGGUUGCCAUGGAGAUGAAAGGAUUUCUCAAACAAAGUCCAGAGUUUGAAUCCCAACCUGGCGUCUGACCGUCUCCCAGCAUGCACUGCUUCUGCCUGGGUUCUCCGGCUUCCUGUCGGGUCGACCGGUGACUCUGAUGCAUCCGUACAUAUGAAUGUUCACAGCUGGCUGCUCUGUGAUGAUGGACUUUCCUCACAGAUGUUURAACUUUGCACAGCAGCCGACAUGAAAGUUCACAGAAAAAUAUCCACAAAGUCUCAAAAAUGAGGCUCAAGACUUUUCAAAACUGCCAACAAAGUUUGGACAGUUUGAGGGAAAACAGAAAUAAAUAUGAAUCCAGCAGAUGAACAUUUAGAGCAUUCAUUUUAUGAAAAGUUAUUUGUGUUUAAAUGCAGGCAGGAGUCAGUGAAUCAGUGGUAGAGAAAGCCGAGUCCAGAGCCGGAGGCGCCCCAGACGUCACUCUGCCCUCCUCAGACCCGCAGCAGGAACUGAGAGCUGGCGAACGCAGCCCGAAGCUGCAGAGUGGGAGGAAACAGCGACACUUCACUUUGUGAUGCAGCUGCUUUCUCUGUCAUGGAAGAAACUGUUCGCAGGGGUUCCCCAAGGCGCCGAGCGCAGACCCCUGCUCUUUGACGUUAUCUGCCUUAUCAUUCAAUCUGACGCAGAUCGAUUUAUGACGACUCUGGAGACGAGGAGAAAACCUCAGAUGAUGCAAACAGAUCCUGAAGACAAGCAGGAGUCAUUUUCUCCCUCUGGCUUGCAGCCGGUUGGUCUGAGCUGAUCACGUUUAUAUUCUACUAACCUUUUAUAAGUUCACCAAACGGCACAUGGAGAAAGAAAACAGCGAGGUUUAUUUACUGGCUGCAUCCAGUCACCGUCGUUUCUUCAUCUCCUGAAAAGCAGAACAAUCAGCAAUUUCCUCACAUGAGCAGCUGCUGCCGACCGUCAGAGGCAAAAAGUGUUUAACGACCUGACCUGCAGUUCGUCUUCAACAUGUUUGAAUUUUAAUAAUCUACCGUUUGAUUAAAAGCUUACAUUUGUGAAACAUUUUUCGCAGUUGAAACUAAAUGUUUUCAUCCACCUGUAAAAAUAAACGGCUACAUUUUGAAGUCAGACUGAA